GACGAACGCUGGCGGCGUGCUUAACACAUGCAAGUCGAACGGUAAGGCUCCAGCUUGCUGGGGUACACGAGUGGCGAACGGGUGAGUAACACGUGGGUGACCUGCCCUGCACUUCGGGAUAAGCCUGGGAAACUGGGUCUAAUACCGGAUAGGACCGCACCGUGAGGGUGUGGUGGAAAGUUUUUUCGGUGUGGGAUGGGCCCGCGGCCUAUCAGCUUGUUGGUGGGGUAAUGGCCUACCAAGGCGGCGACGGGUAGCCGGCCUGAGAGGGUGGACGGCCACAUUGGGACUGAGACACGGCCCAGACUCCUACGGGAGGCAGCAGUGGGGAAUAUUGCACAAUGGGCGGAAGCCUGAUGCAACGACGCCGCGUGGGGGAUGACGGCCUUCGGGUUGUAAACUCCUUUCACCAUCGACGAAGGGUUUCUGACGGUAGAUGGAGAAGAAGCACCGGCUAACUACGUG
rnacentral:rRNA from 1 species